rnacentral:rRNA from 1 species
AUAGCGAAAGCUAGUUGUAUUAUUAGUUAAUGCAAGAUCGACUACGUCGACUAAAGUUCUAGGUAGAAUAAUGAUGAUGACAAUUUUUUACCUAUAUGUCUUGACCAAAUCUCGUGCCAGCAGUCGCGGUAAGACGUGGAAGACUAAUGUUAUUCAUCUUAAUUAGGUUUAAAGGGUACCUAGACGGUAUAUCUAGCCCAAAACAGGGUACGGAUUUACUAAAGUUUUAUGUGAGGAGGGGAGUACUCAUGGAGUAAAGAUGAAAUUUUGUUAUACUAUGAGGUAACUGAUGGCGGCGAAAGCAACCUUCUAUGUAUAAACUGACGUUGAGGGACGAAGGCUUGGGUAGCAAAUAGGAUUAAAUACCCUAGUAGUCCAAGCAGACAAUUCUGAAUGCCAUAGAUUAAAUUAUUUUUGAUCUAUAAAUGAAAGUGUAAGCAUUCCACCUUAAGAGUAAUGUGGCAACACAGGAACUGAAAUCAUUAGACCGUUUCUGAAACCAGUAGUGAAGUAUGUUAUUUAAUUUGAUGGUCCACAAAAAACCUUACCACAACUUGAAUAUUUUUAAUUAAUACAAGCGUUGCACGGCUGUCUUCCGUUAAUGUCGUGAGAUUUUGGUUAACUCCAUUAAUUAACGUAAACCCUUACUUUAUUUAUU